rnacentral:rRNA from 1 species
UACGAAGGGUGCAAACGUUAUUCGGAAUCACUGGGCGUAAAGGGGGCGUAGACGGUCUGUUAAGUUCGUUGUUAAAGGCUCCGGCCUAACCGGAGUACCGCAAUGAAAACUGGCGUGCUAGAGGGUGAGAGAGAGAAGUGGAAUUCCCGGAGUAGCGGUAAAAUGCGUGGAUCUCGGGAGGAACACCAAUGGCGAAGGCAGCUUCUUGGCUCAUUCCUGACGUUGAGGCACGAAAGCGUGGGGAGCAAACAGG